rnacentral:misc_RNA from 1 species
AAAUGCGAUAAGUAGUGUGAAUUGCAGAAUUUAGCGAAUCAUCGAAUCUUUGAACGCACAUUGUGCCCCUUGGUAUUCCAUGGGGCAUGCCUGUUCGAGCGUCAUUUCAACCCUCAAGCACUGCUUGGUGUUGGGCGUUUGUCCCGCCUACGCGCGUGGACUCGCCUCAAAGUCAUUGGCAGCUGUUCCCCUUCGGCUCGUAAGCGCAGCACAGUCGGCGCCCGGAGCUCUGGUGGGAUGGCGUCCAGCAAGCUAUAUUUUCAGGCUUGACCUCGGAUCAGGUAGGGAUACCCGCUGAACUUAAGC